rnacentral:snoRNA from 1 species
AUAACAAUUUGUGAUGCUUUAGGGAGCCUAUUGUUUGAUGGUUUAUAGGAGCCAGAUUUGUCUUUUUGACUAAUUUUCAACCUAUUCUUACUUCCAAAACUGUUGCAAUGGCUCUCGUUUUUGUUAAAUUUUUCUCUUUUCUCUUCUUUGGCAUAGUUUAUUUUUAAUAAAUUAUUUCAGGGUGAGAUAGAGAAAGAAUAAUGAGUAUCGUAGAUAAAUCUUCGGUUCCGAAUAGUGUAACUGUUGGUGCUGAGGUAAUCCAUCUUUAAAACCAUCGCCGUUAGAGGUUGCUUCUGAUAUUUUCGGUUAAGCGACCCAUGAAAUGGUGAUGACCUGAGGUAUGGAACAU